CAGGAUGAACGCUAGCGACAGGCUAACACAUGCAAGUCGAGGGGCAGCACGGGAGUAGCAAUACAACUGGUGGCGACCGGCGCGACGGGUGAGUAACGCGUAUGCAACCUACCUAUCAGAGGGGAAUAACCCGGCGAAAGUCGGACUAAUACCGCAUAAAACAGGGGCACCGCAUGGUGAUAUUUGUUAAAGAAAUUCGCUGAUAGAUGGGCAUGCGUUCCAUUAGGUAGUUGGUGAGGUAACGGCUCACCAAGCCGACGAUGGGUAUCCGGCCUGAGAGGGUGUACGGACACAUUGGGACUGAGAUACGGCCCAAACUCCUACGGGAGGCAGCAGCUAAGAAUAUUCCGCAAUGGACGAAAGUCUGACGGAGCGACGCCGCGUGGAUGAAAGAAGGCCGGAAGGUUGUAAAAUCCUUUUGCUGAUGAAGAAUAAGUGUGGUAGGGAAUGACCGCAUGAUGACAUUAGUCGGUGAAUAAGCCCCGGCUAACCACGUGCCAGCAGCCGC
rnacentral:rRNA from 1 species